rnacentral:tRNA from 1 species
GCCUGGGUGGUGGAAUGGCAGACACGAGGGACUUAAAAUCCCUUGCCUAACAAGGCGUGCGAGUUCGACUCUCGCCCUGGGCA